AAUAUAGGACGUUUUAGCCCCUUUUUUCUCCUCGUUGUUUUAUGAGGAGUUGCAGAUGUGGAUGCUUUCUUUCGAUCUGGACUAUGAAGAAUUUUCAAACAGGUAUUGGCUGAUGAUUAAAUGAAAAUAAUGAGACAAUGAUAUAUCAUAAUUAAACAAGGCCUAGAUGUCUAAUCUUCCAAGAGGCAGAAAAAAAGGAUUAGCAACAUUUCUCUGGUACCAGGCUGGCUCUCAACUUCACUGAGACACCUUCAAACCUCUUUUGAGCGAUAAAACUACUUCUUAUGGUGCUUGGCAAAGGAUGGUUGACGUAGUGAAGGUUCUAUAUUGAUUCCUUUCAAGCCUUAUAAAAGAUAAUAAAUUUCUUGUUGGCCAAUUGGCGGUGAAAUAGCAUUUAAUUUGAACUUGAUUUUUGUAUUUUAAGUUACCACAUAUCUAUAUUUGUGGUUUUACUUAUACGUUAUCGGUUACAUAACAUGAAUGAUUAUGUGUGUACACUAGAGUGGUGUCAUCUUUCAAGAACAAGUGUGCAGAGAAUUAGCAUUAUUUAUACGCAGAUUAGUAAAAUUUGUAAUUUUUGUCACAUGUCGAAACUUGCACAUUAUUGUAUGUGUAUGCUUAUCUUAUUCUGAAUCUGAAUUCUAUUACUUCGUACCAGAGAUGUAGGCUACUGAAUUUGAGCCAAGAUGUGAAUGUGCUUUUUAACCUGUUUUGACCAUGUUUUGUGUGCCUUAUCUGUAGCAUUCAUGUACUGAUUGUGCAAAACCUUCACCCUACUGAUCUCUCCUGUUGAAACAGCCAAAGAUAGAUGUGGGACAUCCCACUUGGUUGCAUCUCCGGAUAAGAGCGUUUAAUACAAUGUUUGGAUGCAAGCAAUAAAGGUUUCUGCUAAAACAUGUCCGAUAACACUUUAGAUGGGAGAUGGACACUUGGGUUUUUAAAUGCAAAAGUUUGUGAAGCUGCUGGAUUACUGAUACUCGAGGAAACUAGUAAGCAAAGAUCCUCAACUGCGAGGAUCCUUGCUCCACUAGUUCUGAGUAGCCAUACCAAAGACUUGUCAGAUGGUCAAGAUGAUUAAAGACCUAUUGCAAGUGGAGAGGACUAUUUGCAUUUUUGUCCUAUGACAAUCACUGCCUGCUGCUAGCAUCUCUUUUGUUACUACUUAUUUUAGCAGAAAGUAAAGGAUUCAUAUGAACAGUCCCUUGGAUGGAUGAUGGUUUGAUCAUAUCUUCGAUACUUUGAAAAUGAAUGGACAAGAUGUAGAACAGGUAUGGAUUUCAAUUUUGUUGAAGCAGCUGAUGAUUGUAUUGAAGAUGGUGGUGGUACUUGAGCAGCUUCUUUUUAUACCCCAUCACAAAGAGAAGAAAAAUGAAACCACAGUAAGUUUUGUUGGAUACAACAGGUGGCACAAUUUCAUAUGCCGCUUGGUUCAUAUAUCUUUUAUGUUGUGUACAGCUCUCGAGGAGCCAUCCCAAUCCAAUGAUCCUCUUUUUGUUCUAGAAAUUGCUCUGUCAACAAACUACUAAUGGUAUAAGAAGUAUGCUUAUCUUAUUCUGAAUCUGAAAUUCUGUUACUUCGUACCAGAGAGAGAUGUAGGCUACUGAAUUUGAGCCAAGAUGUGAAUGUACUUUUUUAACUGUUUUGAUUAUGUUUUGUGUGCCUGAUCUGUAGCAUUCAUGUACUGAUUGUGCAAAACCUUCACCCUACCGAUCUCUCUGUUGAAACAGCCAAAGAUAGAUGAGGGACAUCCCACUUGGUUGCAUUUCCGGAUAAGAGAGUUUAAUACAAUGUUUGAUGCAAGCAGUAAAGGCUUCUGCUAAAACAUGUCCGAUAACACUUUAGAUGGGAGAUGGACACUUGGGUUUUUAAAUGCAAAAGCUUGUGAAGCUGCUGGAUUACUGAUACUCGAGGAGCAAAGAUCCUCAACUGCAAGGAUGCUUGCUCCACUAUUUCUGAGUAGCCAUACCAAAGACUUUUCAGAUGGUCAAGAUGAUUAAAGACCUAUUGCAAGUGUUGGUUGCUGAGGUGACUGAGGCCAAGAAACUUCUGCUACUGCCAGUCAGACUACUUGAGAUGAUAUAUUAAACAGAAUAUUGGAAGUGCUCAUGUCAAAAGGUAUCAGGGCUAUAUUAGGGUCGAACCAUUUUACCUCCCAGAUUAACAGUUUCUUAGACAAUUCUUGAUGCUUGAAAAACAAAACUUGUGGUUGGUUCUUGUAACAAUUGUGACCCUUAGGCAGUGCUGCAAGACAUGGCUUGCUUGUAGGGGCAUCUUUUUAGGAAAUGUUGACCCCAUUCUUAGGUUGCUUAUAUGAGCGCAGAACAGGUUUAGCUAGAACAAAGGGAAGAUCGAUGGGAGGGAAAAGGAUAUGGUAGAUGGCACUGUGGAGCUAGGCCACAGCAAUGAUUAUGCUAGCUAGAAGGCAACGAUGAGUUCUACUGGAAUGAUACACGGAGAGGUAUCUCUUGUCAUAAUUUGACCUUUUUAUAUGGUUGUUGACAAUCUGAAAUUCAGGUUUGAGAAGUAUAUCCAGAAAAAAGGUCAAUCAUUGUUGCGAAG